GUUCUCUUUAGCGGUGGUGCGAAGAAGGGAGGGUUAGGCUACGAGGUCUUUUGGUUUCUGUUUAUGUGGGUUCUUGGCAACACGUUUGCAGGACUCGGUAUGUUUCAACUUGAUGGGCAUGCAGAGUAUGGGUUCCUUUAUUCUUCCCUGUGGAAUGUGAGACUAGUGGGAUGAUCAGUGGGACACAGCUCUGCUCAGUUAAAGGGAAAUUCCACUUUUUUUGCAUUACUUAAGAUGUCAGGUCAUUCAGAGUGGUUUAAUGUAAAAUACACAAUUCUAGAAAGUGUUUCACUGCAUGAAAUAAGAACCAGAAAAGUGCAUUCAUCAAUUUAGCACUGUUUUACUCUCAUAGUCCCUGUCAAAACAAAUCUUUACCUAAUUUGAAAAUGCCAGCUGUAGUUCAUGCUACCAAAUAGACCAAUAUAAAUGAUCCAGAGUGGCUGAAGUCUUGUCAACAUUAGCUUUCUUCAAACAUUAGAAUAUUUUUAUUUAGGUUUUUUCCCUGGACAUAUGAGGUUUUGUUCCAGCAAUAAUAUUACCUGGACAUGUGUAGGUUCUCUCAUCCAUCACUCUGGAUAGCAAAUAAAGUGCUUGUUUGCAUAGACACAUUGGUUCCCAACACCUGUGUUGUGUUGUAAAGAAAUGAAUGUCAAUGCACAGUUUUUUCCAUUAAACCACUCUAAAAGACAGUCUUUAUAUAAUUUGUCAGUGUACUUGUGCAAGUCUGUAACUCUUUGGUAACUUGAAUAAAAUAAAGGUUUGAUUUUCCAUGUAAA